CAGGCCUAACACAUGCAAGUCGAGCGCUGUAGCAAUACAGAGCGGCGCACGGGAUAAUAACGCGUGGGAACCUACCUUUCGGUUCGGAAUAACAUCGGGAAACUGGUGCUAAUACCGGAUCCCCCCUUCGGGGAAAAGAUUUAUUGCCGAAAGAUGGGCCCGCGUUGGAUUAGCUAGUUGGUGAGGUAAUGGCUCACCAAGGCUACGAUCCAUAGCUGGUCUGAGAGGAUGAUCAGCAUCGCUGGGACUGACACACGGCCCACACUCCUACGGGAGGCAGCAGUGGGGAAUAUUGGACGAUGGGGGAAACCCUGAUCCACCCAUGCCGCGUGAAUGAUGAAGGCCUUCGGGUUGUAAAGUUCUUUUGGCGGGGACAAUGAUGACGGUACCCGCAGAAUAAGCUCCGGCUAACUUCGUGCCACCAGCCGCGGUAAUACGAAGGGAGCUAGCGUUGUUCUUAUUUACUGGGCGUAGAGGGCGCGUAGGCGGUUUUGUAAGUUGGAUGUGAAAGCCCUGCGCUCAACCCGGGGAAUUGCAUUCAAAACUACAUGACUAGAAUUUGGUAGAGGUUGGUAGAAUUCCCAGUGUAGAGGUGAAAUUCGUAUAUAUUGAGAAGAAUACCCGUGGCGAAGGCGGCCAACUGUACCAACAUUGACGCUGAGGCGCGAAAGCGUGGGUAGCAAACAUGAUUAGAUACC
rnacentral:rRNA from 1 species